UUCUUUAUAGUAUUAUGUCUAGGAAUGGAUAUUUAACUAAUUUUCUAAAAAAUAUUUCGCUCCAAAACCCAAAAUCACAAGCCUUAGAUUUCCACUGUUUCUUCAAGUCUGAAAUUGGAAAUACAAAUCAAAGAGGAAAAAGUUCUGAAAUUUGAAAUACAACCCCCCUAGGUUUAUCAUGAUCUCUCUCUCCUCUCUUCUUCAUCUCUGCAAUGCCAGCUUCUAACUCAUCCAUCUCUGUAGCGCCAGCGCUUCACCAAACCCAAAAUGAAAUCAAACACACCGAGUCUCUCUCCCCACUCGCUCCCUCUUCUCUCUUGCUAUUCCAUUCUUGUCUCCUGCACGCUUGCUCGAUGAUUCCUCUCUCCGUCGGCACUAUCGCUCUUCCUUAUCACUAGCCGGGCUCGAUCUUCUCUGGAAUCUUCGUCGCCACUGUGACAAUCUAACUAGUAAACUCUUUUAUCCCUCUUCAUAUUCAUCUUUAAAUCUAUUCCUAAAUGUGAUGAGCGAAGACAAUUAGGGUUAUGGUAAAUGUGGCUGAUUAUUUUUCUUUAUAAAGAAAUCCCAUUUUUGCAAUUUGAUUUUAGGGUUAUGUUUGGGUAUUUGAUUACUGUCGCUGAUUUUAUUUCCUUUUAAAGAAAUUUGUUUUCUUCAAUUUGAUUUUAGGGUUAUGUUUUGAGUAUUUGAUUAUUUUCAUUGUAGAUAUUUGGGAUGUGAUGAAAUUGAAGCAAUCUUCUGUUUUUUUAAAUUAAAAAAAUUUAAUCCCGGGGUUUUUGUUCGAAGUAAUGCCCUGCUCUAAUUUAAAGGUUUAUUGUUUGAAUAUUAGGAGGCAAGACGGAGUGUGACGCAGGUAAUAGUCCAGCCUUUUCAUCUUUCUUCAUAAUCUUUGUGACACUGGUUUGAUUUAGCCUUUGGUUUUGCUUUGUCUGCACUUUUGGUGUUGAUUAUGUCUGUAUCUUAUUGCUAUUGUCUUUUCUGCUGUUUCUCUUGCUCUAAAAUCUUAGGCUCUUCAACAAUUAUUGAUGAUAUGUGCUUUAUUUCUUGCUCCAUUGUAAUUAGUGAUUUCUACUGAAAUUAGUGCUUAACACAUAAAGCCUUUAGUUUUAGUUCCUUUCUCUACUAUUUAGUUUUCGUUUCCUAAAGUAACAAGAACUUGUGCUCUGUGUUCUAGAGUAACCGUUGAAUGAGGUUAUUUUUUAACCAACAUGUGGUCUGGUUUCUACAAGUUUUAGUCUUUAAGUUCAGUUCGCUCUAAGUUGAUUAUAUGUCAUACACAACACUAGAAUAAGAAAGAUUUAUCUAGAUUUCUUGUAAUUUGCUAUGCCAAUUAUGAUGCUCUGUUUGGUUACUAGAAUAUGACUUUUACUUUCUAUAUCUUUCACUGACAAUUAUUAAGAGGUAGUUUUAUCUUACUUUGGAUAUCAUUUGAGUCUUUGCUCCCUCAAAACAAUUGAUUGUAUAUUACAAUAAGCGUGCUGACUUGGUAGAUGUUUCGAAUAAUGACAUUAAGAAGUUGUCUUUUUCUACCUCCCCGGUAUUUCCUAGCUCAAAGAACCUCAAAUCCCUUCCUCAACAUUUACAUGCUACCCCGUCUUUCAUUUCAUCCCACUGGGUCUCGACCCAUAAAUUCAAAUAUGGGCUGUGAUUUUUGUAGAUUUUUAGUUUUUCAAUUUUUAUUUGGACAAAGCAUAUGUAGAAAAAGGUAAGCAUUCUGAUUUGGUUUAAUCAUCAGAUCUGAUGUUGCACUUAUUACGCUAGCUUCAAUAGUUUGGAUCAUAGAAGUUGUUUGGGUUAUAUAUAGUAUCUUUCUCAUAACCUUCCUUAAUCUUAAAUAACCAUGAUAUACAUAUAUAUAAUCUUAUAUAUCUUUUUGCUCUUAAGUACUGCCUGCUAUUGCUUUCUCAAGAGUUUGAAUGAAAAGGGAAAUGGGAUUCGAGAAUUUAAGAAAUGCAAAUGCUGGCAAUCAAGUAGAUACAUGAACCAUUAUCAAUGUCCUUUAAACAUAUUUAGUAAAUGUGUUGCAGUUAGAGAUUAUCAGCUAUCAUCUCUGUUAUAUCUUUUAUUCACUGUUUCAUUGCAGCAUAUUGUUGUUGAUGCUAAACAUGAACUUUUGGUUUCAUUGUAUUCACAAAAUUCGAUUUUCCACAAAAAUUAAAGUGACUGGUGCAGACUUAAGAUAAAAUUCUAAUAAUUUUGGUAUUUAUUUUAAAAGAUCAGUGCAGUUUGCAUAUAAUUUCUAGUUUCGAUUAAAAUUAUUAAAACCUAACUAGAGUAUUUGUGUGGAAUCAAAUUGUGACAUGUCUUACCAACAUAAGUGAGCCUCUGAAAAGUUUGUUUUUAAUAUUUUCUUGUAGAGCACACAAACUUGCCAUGAAACACAUUAUUGAAUGAAGCUUCUAUUUGGACCAAGAAUUUGCAGACAAGGUAUUCUUGUCUAACAGCGUAUGAUUUGGAGGGGUGGUCCAGAGUCGUAAAUCUAAUGGCUAUAGUUACGCUUUUUAUCAUACUAGAAAGCUUGGUUUAUUUCAGCAUGUAUUAGGAGUUUUUGAAUGUUUGUAUCAAAAUAUUCUACUUUAAUGGAUAUUAAAUUUCAGCUU